rnacentral:sRNA from 1 species
UAACAAACAAUACUUGUGAUAUCACCAACGAUGUUUACCCACCACUCACCCCUGGUAGCUGUUUAUCAAAACAAAGGUCAUGCCUAUUUAACUACGUUGACAACGUGAUCUGGGUGGAAAGAAAUGUCAAUCAAACAGAUGCAGUUUGC